UAAAAAUUGUGGACAUAACGUGAGAAGAUCUGGAAGAUGAUGGGAAAUCCCAUGCCCGGUGAACGUGCAUGCCGGCCGGGUGUAAAGUCAGCUUGGUGACUGUCUCCCUCCCUGUUACAAGAGAGCUGCGGAUAAAAAAGCUCCGACACUCCACCUACCUUUACAAGUGCUUUGAGUCAUUAUAGUAGACGACGCUCAUCGAGGAGGAUGAAGGAGAUACCACCAAAAGAAGCUACUAUUAUAGGAAAAAUCUGCGCUUUUAGCUUUUAAGUACUAAAGACAACGUUCGCUCUUGUGUGUGAGACACGUUUGCCCUUUUUUUUGUUUUCGGUAGUAAACUUUUGAUAUUGUUAGCAUUUAUCGACUUUGUCAGAAUAUAUCGGCCACUAAGUUCUCUUUUUAAAUUGGAAAAAUACUUUAAAUUCCAUUAAUACCUGGAAGAAAAGUACAAAGACGGUGACAGUGUCCUUCUGAUCAGUGGGAUGUUUGACUUGCGGGAGCAGGACUGACGGAAGGAGGAUGGUCAAACACCAACCCCUCCAAGUCUAUGAGCGCCAGCUGUGUUUGUCCUGUAUCACUGGGAUCUACGGUUGCCGCUGGAAACGCUAUCAACGAUCCCACGAUGACACCACCAAGUGGGAGCUGCUGUGGUCCCUCAUCCUUCUCUUCACCUUCUGUGCGCUGCUGGUCUGGUUUUACUUCUGGUUGGAAGCUCGCAAUGACUACAGUGAGUUCAACUGGUUCCUCUACAACCGCUCUGGCGAGUGGAGCGAUGGCACCGUUCCAAUCAUGGCCACGACCGCUGCUGGCUUCACCUACAUAGCCUUUUUAAUGAUUUUAGCACUUUGCCACGUUGCACUAGGCCAACAGCUGAAUUUGCAUUGGCUUCACAAGAUAGGAGUCACCGCGGCUCUGCUAACAACCGUUGUCGGGGUGAUAUCCAUCAGUCAAACCUGGCAGCACGAGUGGGACAUCAUCCCCAUCUCCUUGCAGGCCACAGGGCCGUUCCUGCACAUCGGCGCUGUCGCUGCGUUCACAGCUCUGUCUUGGAUCGUGGCCGGACAGGUGGCCCGUGCAGAAAAAACGUCGUUCCAGGUGGUGGUCAUGCUGCUGUAUCUUGCCAUGUUACUGGGCCUCUACGUGGUGCCGCUGUACAUCACCUCCCCUUGCAUUAUGGACCCUAGCAACCUUAGGCCUCGCCCUGAUGUUAUUGGCCACCAGGGGGUCCCUAUGCUUGCUCCAGAGAACACCAUGUGGUCCUUUCAGCGAGCUCUGCAAAUGAAUGUCACUGGGCUGGAGGCCGACGUAGCUAUCAGCGUCGACGGGGUUCCGUUCCUGAUGCGCGACUCCACCCUGCGCAGGACCACUGACGUUGAGAAGAUGUUUCCUGACAGACCAAUGCAAGACGCCUCAUUUUUCAACUGGACCGAUCUGCAGCAGCUCAACGCAGGACAGUGGUUCCUCAAGGACGACCCCUUCUGGACGGUGCAAACCUUGUCCCCCCACGAGAGGAACCUGAUUGCCAACCAGAGUGUGUGCAGCCUGGAGCAGCUUCUCAAGCUGGCCUCCUACCAUAACACCAGUGUGGUGUUCAGGCUCAGGAGACCCCCUGUGGGACAUCCCUGCUACAACAGCUGGAUCAAUGACACCCUGCAGGCCACGCAGCAAUCUAGGGUUCCUCAAAGUCUGGUAUUGUGGACUCCUGAUGAAGACAGGGCUCAGGUGAGACAGAUUGCACCCGGUCUGAUCCAGACAUCAGUGGAGAAACAAAGUCCUCAAAGCCUCCGAGAGGCGGGCAUCAGCAGGCUGCUGCUCAGAUACAACCAGGCCAGCACUCUGGAAAUCGGGGACUUUUCACAAAGAAACAUCAGCCUCACCCUCUACACUGUCAAUAAGCCCUGGCUGUAUUCUGUGCUGUGGUGCAGCGGCGUGUCCUCUGUGACGUCAGAGGCGCCGCAUGUCCUCAAGAAGGUGCCUUACCCCAUCUGGCUCUUGAGAGCCGAUGAAUACUGCUUAAUGUGGGUGUGUGCCGACCUCAUCUCCUUUGUUGUGGUUGUAGGAAUAUUUAUAUUACAGAACUAUCACAUGAUCAGGUAUCGAACCAGCGGCAUGCGCAGCUACAACCCUGAGCAGAUCAUGCUGAGCGCCGCGGUCAGGAGGUCCAGCCGGGACCUCAACGUCAUGAAGGAGAAGCUCAUCUUCUCUGGUCAAACCCAGUAGCCGCCUCAGCCUGACCCCGCCAUCUCUCCGUGUGUGUCCAUCGUCUGCGCCAUCAGCGACCUAUUCCUCAUUCUUUCCUAGUCUGCGUCCUUGCCCACUUUCCCCACACAACCAUCUCCAUCCCUGCCUCCAUGCUACCUGCCUGCUACCCUCGCCCAUAGUGAAGCUUUAAGGGUGCCCCAGUCUGUCUGGCACUGGGAGGGGUCAAAGAGGUGGGCAAUGGCGUUGCCGGCAGUGACGAGCCCUACACAGACAACAGCAAUGAUUAUGAUGACUACUACACUGACCGACCUGUGAGCCAAUGAUGGCGCACUUUCAGCCACAAGAUGAGGAAACAAGCGUGUACAUUUUUGUAAAUAAUGUCUUUGCUUCCUGGACAAAAAUAUAUAAUGUAUAUUACUUUUGACUCAGCACUUUUUAUCCACGGAAUUGACUUAAGAGAGUCCAGAAUUUUCAUUUGUAAGCUAAUUCUCCCAAGCAGGUCCUUCCAUUCUAAGCACUGAUGCCUUUUAUUUAUAUCCACAAUCCAGCAUGAAUUAUGCUCACAGCGGCUGUGUCGGUCGAUGGUAACAUUUGAAAGUGUGCAAAUGCUGCUGCAUGUAACAGUUAUGAUCAUAUCAUGUGUGUGAGCUCAGCUGUACAGUCAGGAACAAGUGAAUCUUUUUUUUUUUAAGUAUGUAACCUGUUUAGCCUGCGGUGCAGUGUUGUGAAUGACGUCAUUUGCAAGCCAACAAAAGAACACUUUGGAGUCACGUGACAAUUAGAGGACGUCGUCUUUACUUCCCUGCAAGAAUGUUGGGGCUAUUUUAUUGUUUACAAACCUGAAGCAUCUUCAUGUUUGUCGCUGCUGUCAAAUGUUAUGUGUGAAUAAAAGUGUAAGCUAACUAAAAA